ACUGAGUAGAGUAGAUUACGUGUAUGCCAUCAUUUUUGCUGGGCCAGCGGAUAUGUCUUAAACGGAUUUGGGCCAGGCCGUAACCGCUGCAGUUGCCGUUAUGCAAAUGACAUUGCAGCCAUCGUGUUAGAGAACAAUCAGACACAUGUAGAGACUGUAAAUAUAUUAGUGAGACACUCAGGCGAUCAAUUUCCCAUGACAUCCUCGCACUCAUGAAGCAAAAAUCUUUGACUAUGCCGAAACAAACGAUGCGUCAAGACGAGUCCAAUGUACAAAAUGUAACGGCUGUGCAUAUUGUAAAGUUGACUUUUGUUCUAAAUUGAAAGCGUACAGCGUGGAAAAUUACACAGAUUAUUCUGGGCGACGCGACUGUCAGCAGCUGCACCUCCCCUGAUAAGAAAGUGGGACACCGAAAAUCAUACACAUUUUGCAUGAAUCUAACUUUAAUUUACACAAGUAGUUGUAGCUUCUUUCAAACGGCAGUCCAAUUGAGGAAGGCGUACACUAUGGAGCACAGCAAAAAUUCAAUUAGUUGUCAAUUUCGCGCUCAAAUAACCUCGAACAAGCAAGUAACUAAACGCCCAAAAUUUUCCAAAACUUUGACGGCUCCACCUUUUUUGGACCAUAACCGGGAUAUUGGGCCUUCGUUUUGAUUGACACUUUCUUUAUUUCGUUGCUAAGACAAUGCAUUACGUCAAGAACACUGCAGCCGAUACAAAUACCUUUUAAGUAUCAAUAUUGUAGGCGUAAAUUAUGCAAAAGAUACUAGGCUUUGUCUGGAUUAUUAACACACAAACACACUUACACUUUUAUGCACGUAUAUAAGCAUAGAUAAACACGCACACGUGCACACACCCGUUUGAUUUAGAAGGCAUGUGAGGAACGGAGCGGAGAGUUAUAAGAACUUACCAAAUCAACAGAGAGCCCCACCAUGUCGGCCAGCCAGGUAAAGGCAUGGCUCCCAUUAUAUAAAUCAUUCCCAAUAAAUUUGGGCGAUUCGAGCAUUUUGCCAGUGUUCUCCUUGUUGUCUUGUUGCUGUCUUGUCUGUUACUCUACUCCUCACUGCUUCAUUUGUGCGAUUGUCACAGUAAAUCGGUGUUU